UCUAGGUAAACCACGGUGGCGCGUCCCCUCUCAGAUUGAGCCGCUCGCCCCUGCAGCCGCCACUGCCAUGAAUGCCGCAUGCCCACGUCGUCCCCUUGCCUCAUCGCCUCCUCAUCCCAGGACACCGACCCAGAUGCGCCCGCUGCCAAGGUCGUCCGAGUGGAGCAGAGGAUCCACGCUCGCUGCCGAGUGGAGCAGAGGAUCGACGCUCGCUGCCGAGGUCGCCUGAGUAGACCGGAUCCCUUGUCGGGUGCUCGACGAGCAGCGCAACGGGGUCCAGAGGAUCAACGCCGAGAUCAGUUCCGCAUCCAUCGGAUCUAAUAGUUCAGUGACGAGGUCAAUACUCCUACGUGUUGGUCGGAUCUAGUUCGGUGAUGAUAUAUUUAGAUGGGAGGGGGAGGUAGAGGCGGAUACGAUGCAGGACUCGUUUAGGACGGAGAACAGAGGUGAAUUCGGGUUGUAGUCUCUCGCAUGGCAUGAACAUGACAGAUGUAUCGGGGACGAGCAUUGCCGGGACGUGCAUAGGCUGCCGUGUAGCAGGUUUGUGGAGGUGAUGGCGCCAGUCUUGUGAAGGGAUGCUUGGAGAUGCGUGUGGCACUGAUCUAGAAUCCCAAAGAGCAGAUUGCCAUUGUAGACGCUCAGUACAUGGUUCAUUGUGCAGUUCCCAUGCUCCAGGGCGAGGUAAUUAAUCACAAAGAAAAGCCAGGAGGCCGUUUUGAGUGUUUUUUGUAGAAUGGAUGGUCCACCUUAAAAGUAACAUCACGAGGCAUUGUAGACAUUGGUGAAGGAUGAUAAGGACUUGUUAUGGUGUCUCAUGAGUGAAGAGAAAACAUUUACUGAUAUGUAUGUGGGGAAUUAGAGACAUUGCGAGACCAAUAUUAAGUAAGGCGGAAUUGGUUUCUAAACUACAAGCUGGUGAGCAAGCGAGGCAAGUGCUCAAAGGAACGUUCAAUGGCAUGGUGCAAGAGGUGUUAGAAAUUAAGUGUAUUGUGUCUAGUAUAUUAGUAAGUGAUAGUUCUCAUGUAAGCCAACUUGAAGUUUCUUAAAGGAUAUUUUAAUGUAUGUCAGAA